AUGCCGCCGUCGUCGGCGCGCGACGCCGCAGACCUAAUCAGCGGCCUCGAUGAUGACCUGCUCCUCCACGUCCUGCGCUUCAUGCCCGAAGCACGCGAAGUCGCACGCACGUCCGCGCUCUCGAGGCGGUGGCGCGACAUCUCGACGCGCGCCCCCGUUCUCCACUUCCGCGACGGGCAAGCCGGCGGCAGCACCACGAAGAAGACUGGUAAGAAGAACAAGAAGAAGAAGAAAAAGGAGGAGGAGGAGGAUGGCCACAUGCGGUACAACGAAUUUAUACACAACGUCCUCGCGCGGCGGGCCAAUAGCGACGCCUACAUCGACACGCUCGAUUUGUACAGCACGCUCUGGCCCGGCGAUUCGCAAGCCGACGUGUGGCUCCGCCAUGCCAUGCAGAUCGUGUUUCAUGCGCUAACGGACCUGACUCUCUGCACCAUAAAAUUCAUCGACGGCGACGAUGACCGUCUCGGCAGCCUGCUAUCGUCCUCCUCGUGCUGCCCGAGGCUGCGAAGGCUAACACUCCGGAAUCUGUCCGGGGUGAAGCAGCUGCAGCUCAAUGGCAGCGCGCUAGAGUUCUUGGGUCUGGACGACCUCUCCGUGAGGCGAUUGGUUGUCGACGCCCCACGGCUCUCCGCGCUCCGCCUCGGGUUCCACUUCAUGGAGUACGACGACGAAGACGAGCACACCAGCCUCACCGUCCGAGCACCGGCGCUGGAGACACUGAAUUCCUCCAUGCAGCUCGGCUAUUGCCAGCAGCUCAACCUCCAAGGUCACACGAUCCAACUACUACAAGAGUGUAGCCCUAACGUUCGACACGACUUAUACAUACCAGGUCCAGAGGGGCAAACCGAAAAAGAGGUAGAGGAUGAAAUAACAGCGAUACCCCAAUUCCCCGGCAUCACAAAUCUGACGGAUGGUCAAAGUGAGAAGGACUACAACACCGGCAGCGUCUCCAGCGGCUGGAAACAUGGUGUGGUCUCAUUGAAGUACCUGCGUGAGGUGGAGUUCAGCGGCUUCUCAGGGCAGGGGUACUGCUUCGACUUGGUGCAGCUGCUGCUUUUGAGUGCUCCGGCGCUGGAGAGGAUGAUCUUGACCAUGCAGGCACCUAAAGAAGGCUGCCGGCGCCCAACAAUUGACUUGUCAUCAUUGGAGUCGAGGCUUCCACACGGUACAGGGAAGUGGACCGCUCGCCUAGCUUUUAAUGUGGCAGCGCUGGAGUGGACGCCAUAUUCGUCGAUGCCCGAGGUCGGAACAGGAGAUGCAUGA
rnacentral:rRNA from 1 species